ensembl:lncRNA
ACCCAGAGAGAGCAUUGUGUCUAUCUGGAGAUAUCCUGCUGUGAUGGAGCGGCUGAGAGCCCUUCGAGGUCUCUUUGCCUGUGUGGGCUGCGUGCCCAGACGUACGCGUCGCAGGGAGAGAGGCAGGGUGGCAAGCCCUGUCCCCCCCUGUGCCGUGACUUUGCUGCUGCAGCGCCUGCAAGACCAGGAGGGAGACCGAGCGCAGGCGUACUGCGAGCUGGAGCACGUCCUGUGGGAAGGUGACAGCCGCCCGCCGUGCGGAGUGGUGAACCGGCUGCUGGCUGAGGUGUCCCAGGACCUGACAGCAGCCCAG